UAACACAUGCAAGUCGAUCCGGAAACGAGUUAUCUGAACCUUCGGGGAACGAUAACGGCGUCGAGCGGCGGACGGGUGAGUAAUGCCUGGGAAAUUGCCCUGAUGUGGGGGAUAACUAUUGGAAACGAUAGCUAAUACCGCAUAACGUCUACGGACCAAAGAGGGGGACCUUCGGGCCUCUCGCUUCAGGAUAUGCCCAGGUGGGAUUAGCUAGUUGGUGAGGUAAUGGCUCACCAAGGCGACGAUCCCUAGCUGGUCUGAGAGGAUGAUCAGCCACACUGGAACUGAGACACGGUCCAGACUCCUACGGGAGGCAGCAGUGGGGAAUAUUGCACAAUGGGCGCAAGCCUGAUGCAGCCAUGCCGCGUGUAUGAAGAAUGCCUUCGGGUUGUAAAGUACUUUCAGUCGUGAGGAAGGC
rnacentral:rRNA from 1 species